rnacentral:lncRNA from 1 species
UGAUAAUCUCCAAAAUUUCUCUAAUUCUAAUUUUGUCAAUCAAAUUUCUACUUCUUUUCAUCCACAGACUGAAGAGAAAUCAAUGGAUCAGCAACCUGGACUUGGGGAUUUCAUGCAGAAUUUGAACUCCAGCCAAUACCAGCAAUUGAUGACAAUGCUGUCCGCUCAUUUGGCUUCAAAUUCAAACUCCACUUCAGCUGAUCAAGGCAAAAAUACCUCCACUUAUGCUGCAGGUAUAUAUCAUUCUAAAUUGAUUAGUCUGACUUUUACAUCCAAGAAUGCAUUUGUUAAUUUGAGAACAAUCGAUAAUUCAAGGGUCACUUUGCCUGAUCAAUCAAGAAUCCCAGUCAAUAUGUGUGGUGAUAUCAAACUAGGCCCCAAACUGAUGAUCUAUAAUGUUCUUUUUGUGCAACAUUUCGAGUUUAAUUUACUAUCAGUUAGUGCAUUGACUGUUGAGUCACAACUCACAAUGAGAUUCUUUCUUAAUCAGUUCAACAUCCAGGAAACUUCAACCAAGAGGAUGAUUGGUAGGGGUGAUAAGGUCCAAUGCUGGACACCAGAGACUUCGAUACAAUUUCUAACGUCUUUGUUGGUAAUGUUUCUGCUCAUGUAUGGCAUAAUAGACUUGGACUUCUAUCAUUUAAAAGAAUAGAUGCGUUGAAAGACCAAUUGCUAUGUGAUGC